AAUAAAAGUUAAGAUCUUUAAACUUAAAGAAUUUGGCGGUAUUUUAACCUUUUAGAGGAACCUGCCCUGUAAUUGAUGGUACACGAUUAACUUUACUUAAUUUAUUGUUUGUAUAUCUCCGUUAAAAGAAUAUCUUAUAAAAGAUUUAAUUUUCUUGAUUUUAAUUAAAAAUUAUUUCAGGUCAAGAUACAGCUUAUAAUUAAGAAGAGGUGGGUUACAUUAAAAUUUAUUUGCUUUUUAUCAAUGAAUAAUAAAUAUAAUAGAUGGAUUUAAUAGUAAUGUUAAUAAUUUAAUUAUAAUGAUUUAGGCUCUAUAAUAUGU
rnacentral:rRNA from 1 species